UACGUAGGGUGCGAGCGUUAAUCGGAAUUACUGGGCGUAAAGCGUGCGCAGGCGGCUUGCCAAGUCAGAUGUGAAAGCCCCGGGCUUAACCUGGGAACGGCGUUUGAAACUACAAGGCUAGAGUGUGGCAGAGGGGGGUGGAAUUCCACGUGUAGCAGUGAAAUGCGUAGAGAUGUGGAGGAACACCGAUGGCGAAGGCAGCCCCCUGGGUUAACACUGACGCUCAGGCACGAAAGCGUGGGGAGCAAACAGG
rnacentral:rRNA from 1 species